AGAGUCCCCAAUAGAAACAGGACUUUACAGGAUGCUGCAGGAGCCCUGAUGCCCAGGACAACCCAGACAGCCAAGAUCCAGGGCCCCCAAGAAGGAGAUCACAAGGAGACAAAAGAAACAAGAAAAAACCAGUGUGUCCCAGGGGCUUCACCCCUUCCUGCAAACCUCAGUCUCUGUGAGCUGGAGGGAGUCUGAAUGGGGUGGGGUAUCAGCAUUGUAUUUGUGGAAUGGCCUACCCAACCCUUUGUCUGCUAGUAACCUUGACUUUUCUCCAGGGGACCACCUCUGAGGGAAGCCCAGGGAGCUGGCUCCAGGAUGGACUUGGGACCCACAGUGAUCAAUUAGCAUAUUUCUUCUUCCUGUCAACAGUGAUUGGUUGAGGAGUUGGGCACAUGACUCAAUUCAGUGCCAACUGUGCUGCUCUUGUCUACUAGGAGACUGACAUCUUUAGCUUCCACAAGCUGGGGCAGAUUGGCUUGUGCAUCUUCAUAGGUCAAAAGCAGAAGGCAGGGGUAGAACUUCUGCCACCCAACGCCCCUUCGCUGGCCCCUGCACACCCUGACCUGCUGCCUGCCACACCUGCCACCCCUCAGAGCCACUGAUAGGGGCCAGUGUCCCUCUGCAAAGGACAGACAUCUGUCAGACAUGCUGGCUCCCAGAGGCCACAGACUUCACCAUCCCUACUUCCUGCCAGCUUAAGAGGGGCCCUAGAAUAGUGUGUCCCUGUCUAAGACAUGGACAGCUGCUCCAGAGACAGAAGACUGUGGCUGCUAGCAGACACUGGCCUUUGCACUGUGCAGUGUGUGUUCUGGGAAGGUGCUUCUUGAGUACUCACCUGUGGCCUUUUCAAGAUAAUGAUUGAUUUCAAAGGGCACUGUGUGUAGCCCCACAUCUCUCCCUCCAUCUCUGUCUGCACAUGGUUCUGCCCAUCUUGAAUCUCCCUCUCUGUGGGCUUCCUUCUGUCUACUUCUCUGACUUUACUUUUCUCCCUCUCCAUCUGGCUCUCCUUUUCCACUCAGCUCUGCC
rnacentral:lncRNA from 1 species